UACGUAGGGUGCGAGCGUUUAAUCGGAAUUAUUGGGCGUAAAGCGCACGUAGGCGGUUCGUUAAGUCGGAUGUGAAAGCCCUCGGCUCAACUGAGGAAGUGCACCCGAAACUGGCGAGCUUGAGUACGAAAGAGGAUCGCGGAAUUCCCGGUGUAGAGGUGAAAUUCGUAGAUAUCGGGAGGAACACCGGUGGCGAAGGCGGCGAUCUGGGUCGAUACUGACGCUGAGGUGCGAAAGCGUGGGGAGCAAACAGG
rnacentral:rRNA from 1 species